GACGGAGGGUGCAAGCGUUGUUCGGAAUCACUGGGCGUAAAGCGCGUGUAGGCGGCCUCUUAAGUCUGGUGUGAAAGCCCGGGGCUCACCCCCGGAAGGGCACUGGAUACUGGGAGGCUAGAGUACCGGAGAGGAGGGUGGAAUUCCUGGUGUAGCGGUGAAAUGCGUAGAUAUCAGGAGGAACACCGGUGGCGAAGGCGGCCCUCUGGACGGCUACUGACGCUGAGACGCGAAAGCGUGGGGAGCAAACAGG
rnacentral:rRNA from 1 species